CGCAAAUAUUCAAAUAAGAAAAUUAACCCGGGGUUUAGGUAAUGCAAUGUCUGUUAAUGGAUACCCAGUAUUAACAGUUAACCCAAGUUAUAGUAUGAGCAGUGUGAAAAGUGAAUACAGAUAACCCAGGAUCCCAUUUAUCCAUGGUUUACAAUGAUCCAGGGUUAAGAAUUUCAAGUAUGAGAAGCUCUUAAGACAGCCAUGCCUGGCUUUGCCAGAGCUGACCGAAGAUCUGAGGAACAUGAACCUUUCUUCCUCUUCACAUGAGAGAGCUUCCUUUACAGCACAUUAUGGCAACUCACCUAAUUCAGGUGUUCUGAUUUAUGAUGCUUUGGGAUGGGAAGUGACAAUGCCAAAGGAAAUUCACGGUCUCAGAGGUUCCCGUCUGGUCAUACCAUGUUCUUUCAGCUACACAUCAGACCCGCCCAAAGACCCAAGUAGAGUUGUGUGGUAUCAGUGGGUCUCUAAAGAGAGAAUCAGGUGAAUGCAGUCUGCUGAUUACCACACUGGAACAGUCCCACCAUGGAGAGAAAAUAUAUGCAUGGAUUGACCCUAAAAAUGUUGGAUGGCGCACCUACGCAUUUUAUGAUGUCACGUCUACAAUUUUUGUCGAUAAAAAGUCACAGGAGCCCAGCAUCAGUAUUUAUGGAGGUGAAAAGAUGGGUGACGCCAUCACGGUAGAAUGUUCAACUUUCCACACGUGUCCAUACAGAAAACCAGCAAUCACUCUGAGCGGUGUAGAAGGAACUGAUCAAACAAAGGAUGAACAUAUUAAAAACGGCCUGUGGAAAAGAACUCUGACACGCACAGGUGUCUUAAAGGCAGAAAGCGUGACUAUUCAUUGUUCAGUAACACAUUAUGGUGGCAUAACAGUGACAACUGAAGAAGUCAAAAUGUCAAAAUGUGGACUCCCAUACUGAUGUAAGGCCCAUUUUAAGUGAAAUGGCUGAGAAAUAGCAAAGGCCCCUGGAUCGCUCAACACGUUCUAAACUGCCAUCAGGCAGUGAAGCCACCAGAAGUCACAGCUAAAACAAUGACCUCAAAUCACCAGAUGUGAAGCAAAUCAGUCAAAGGGGAUUAGUUUUUAUGUUAUGUGAAUGUGAAUUAAUGUUUACUUCAGAUGUUAUGUGCAGUGUUCACGGUCUUUUGGGGCAAGAUAAGCGAUAUAUUUAAACCGUUUAGGUGGAUGUCUGCAGCGCAAUGACGACACAUGUAACAA
rnacentral:lncRNA from 1 species